UACAGAGGGUGCGAGCGUUGUCCGGAAUUAUUGGGCGUAAAGGGCUCGUAGGCGGUUUGUCGCGUCGGGAGUGAAAACGCCGUGCUUAACACGGCGCUUGCUUUCGAUACGGGCAGACUAGAGGUAUGCAGGGGAGAACGGAAUUCCUGGUGUAGCGGUGAAAUGCGCAGAUAUCAGGAGGAACACCGGUGGCGAAGGCGGGACUCUGGGCCGAUACUGACGCUGAGGAGCGAAAGCGUGGGGAGCGAACAGG
rnacentral:rRNA from 1 species